GAUGAACGCUGGCGGCGUGCCUAAUACAUGCAAGUCGAGCGAACGGACGAGAAGCAUGCUUUUCUGAUGUUAGCGGCGGACGGGUGAGUAACACGUGGAUAACCUACCUAUAAGACUGGGAUAACUUCGGGAAACCGGAGCUAAUACCGGAUAAUAUUUUGAACCGCAUGGUUCAAAAGUGAAAGACGGUCUUGCUGUCACUUAUAGAUGGAUCCGCGCUGCAUUAGCUAGUUGGUAAGGUAACGGCAUACCAAGGCAACGAUGCAUAGCCGACCUGAGAGGGUGAUCGGCCACACUGGAACUGAGACACGGUCCAGACUCCUACGGGAGGCAGCAGUAGGGAAUCUUCCGCAAUGGGCGAAAGCCUGACGGAGCAACGCCGCGUGAGUGAUGAAGGUCUUCGGAUCGUAAAACUCUGUUAUUAGGGAAGAACAUAUGUGUAAGUAACUGUGCACAUCUUGACGGUACCUAAUCAGAAAGCCACGGCUAACUACGUG
rnacentral:rRNA from 1 species